CUUUGAGACACGUGUAACAACAUUGUCUACACUCUUUCUCAGUGUCGCUAUAUGAACAUGUGAUUUCCUACGGGGGUCCCUAUAAAGUGCUGAGCCCCCAGAAUCUGCUAGGGUAUCCAAGCCCCUCCAACACCCCUGAACCUGUGUUUCCGAAAAAUUCAAGAAACAGGAGCAGAGGCUCUUCGCACGCAGGCUGUGUGAUUAACUGAUGAUAGUGUCAGAGUGCAGAACGCAAGGCCUUCUAUCCAGUAGCCGCAGUUGAGGAGAGCAGGACCAGCCACCGAUGGCAGAAUGUAGAACCCUGCCCCAGGGCCGAGCUCGCGCCCCCCCCCAGCCUGGGUGUCCCCUUCAGCACCAGCUGGCGUCACAUUGGCUUGACAGGCGCACUCUCUGCCAAGGUGCCGCGCUGUGAUUUCAGCCGUUUUCAUCUCUCUCUAUUUUUGCCUGCAUCGUCUCCGUAUCCCGGGUUUGAACAGCGCCUCCCCUCUGUGUGUGUGGGGAUUACGUGUGCCCACCCAUGGAGCGGUUUCUUCCUACAGUCCAAAGACAGGCAGUACUGAACGUCCCCCAGCGUGUUCCAGGCUCACUGUCAUGACGACAUCGCUCUCGCCAGCUGGGAGUUCCCCUGGCCCUCGUCCUGUCGCUCCCCCUGCCCUGCGGGACUGAGCGGGGCGCACGGCCUCCGCCUGCACUAACGGGGCAUGGGGGUGGCUCUGCACAGAGCUAAAGGCACUUUCAUCAUACUGGAACUGUACGGUGUGUACGGAACGCAGCGAUGCUCCUUUAUCUUCAGUCAUUCCCUUUUCCUGUGCUUUAUUUUUAGGUCUGUGUAUUUUUUUGACAUGUCAGGCAGGUAUUGUAAUGAAUGUGCAUUCAGAUGGUUACAAAUACCAGAAAACUAGGCUAAGAACAAGGCUAUUUUUACCUGCUCGAGAUUCUCGCCUCCUCUCGGCAGUGCUGCUGCGGUUGCUAAGCACCCCCUGGGCUGCAGCAGGCCGGCCGGCAUCCUUCUGUUAAACGGCAGAAAACCUGCCGCGGCAAGAGGGAAGCUUGUUGGGGUGCAGGCCACGGCACAGCUCUCCCCCCCCGCAGCCCCUCUGGUCUCCCUUGCUAUAAUGGCUGAUCUGAGUUUGCUUCAGGUAUAUGAGACAGCGGGUUACGCUAGCGGACAAGCUUUGAGAUCUUUGGGAUUCUAAACAGCCCCAGAGGAGGGAGAUGUCCCGGGUGCUAAAGUUGGAGUGAGCCCCAGGUGUGUGCUUCAUUGUAUCUCCAUCAUUUGGAGGAAGGGGGGGUCUGCCGGCAUUUCGGAGAUUAGUUACAAAACAGAGCUGAGCUCUACAGCUGCCCCAGGAUAACUGUUGCUUAAUCCUCAUGGACUGUUCAUGUAAUGACCUCAUCGCUGUAAAUUACAGCUGUACGGUCGGCUUGAGAAACGAGCUUUUUAUUUAUAGAGGAUUACUGCUUAUUGGGAUUUCAAAUUAUCUUCCAUUUAUUUAUGCAUUGUCAAAUUGGGAAAAUUACA